ACGUAGGUGGCAAGCGUUGUCCGGAUUUACUGGGCGUAAAGGGAGCGUAGGCGGUUUUUUAAGUGGGAUGUGAAAUCCCCGGGCUUAACCCGGGAAUUGCAUUUCAAACUGGAAGACUAGAGUGCAGGAGAGGAAAGUGGAAUUCCAAGUGUAGCGGUGAAAUGCGUAGAGAUUUGGAGGAACACCAGUGGCGAAGGCGACUUUCUGGACUGUAACUGACGCUGAGGCUCGAGAGCGUGGGGAGCAAACAGG
rnacentral:rRNA from 1 species